CAUAUACUGAUGGGUGCGAUCAUACCAGCACUAAUGCACCGAAUCCCAUCAGAACACCGCAGUUAAACGUGCUUGGGCGAGAGUAGUACUAGGAUGGGUGACCUCCCGGGAAGUCCUCGUGUUGCACCUUUUUUUGUUCCUCUUGAUUCUUUUGUUUUUAUUUUUUUUUGGUCUUUUCAUUUGAAAAACAAGGCAUCUUCCGUAGGACGCUAUUUCUAGACCGUGUGGAACCAGGCCUCCUACAAAAACUUUUCAGAAAGCCCCUAGAGUGCUCUCGGGCUUGCCCAAGAGUCUGAAGACCAAUGGUGCGGUUUACGAGGCCAAAAUUUGAGGUUUAGACCCUCUUCUGGGCGUUUUCCUAAAACAUAAGCCCCGGUUUUAGUGUCGUCAAACGUGGUGUUUUAACUUAUAUAUCUUGGCACGAAUGCUCGUCGCAGCUGGGCGGGAAAACCCAUAUAAACAGUGCAACACACGCGAAGAGAUUUCAUUGCGGACUCAAAGCCAAAGGAUAUAUGCUAAUGCGAUACAUAUACUGAUGGGUGCGAUCAUACCAGCACUAAUGCACUGAAUCCCAUCCGAACACCGCAGUUAAGCGUUCUUAGGCGAGAGUAGUACUAGGAUGGGUGACCUCCCGGGAAGUCCUCGUGUUGCACAUUUUUUUGUUCCUCUUGAUUCUUUUCUUUUUAUUUUUUUUUUGUCUUUUCAUUUGAAAAACAAGGCAUCUUCCGAAGGACGCUAUUUUUAGACCGUGUGGAACCACGCCUCCUACAACAACUUUUUGGAAAGCCCCUAGAGUGCUCUCAGGCUUGCCCAAGAGUCUAAAGACCAAAGGUGCGGUUUACGAGGACAAAAUUUUAAGUUUAAGACCCUUUUCCGGGCGUUUUUUUAAAACAUAAGCCUCGGUUUUAGUGUCGUCAAACGUGGUGUCCUAACUUAUAUAUCUUGGUAUGAAUGCUCAUCGCAGCUAGGCGGGAAGCCCAUAUAAACAGUGCAACACACGCGAAGAGAUUUCAUUGCGGACUCAAAGCCAAAGGAUAUAUGCUAAUGUGAUACAUAUACUAACGGGUGCGAUCAUACCAGCACUAAUGCACCGGAUUCCAUCAGAACCCCGCAGUUAAGCAUGAUUGGGCGAGAGUAGUACUAGGAUGGGUGACCUCCCGGGAAGUCCUCGUGUUGCACCCCUUUUUUGUUCCUCUUGAUUUUUUUUUUUUUUUUUUUUUUUGGUAUUUUCAUUUGAAAAACAAGGCAUCUUCCGAAGGACGCUAUUUCUAGACUGUGUGGAACCACA
rnacentral:lncRNA from 1 species